rnacentral:misc_RNA from 1 species
AAAACAACGAUCUAUUAUCCUACUAACCUUCUACCCUAAUACGUGUCCUCCAUAACCUCCUAGCCAGAGUAAAAUUGAAGAGAAAAAAGGGCCCUUUUUUUUCUCAUGGGGCAAAAUAAGUACAGCAAACAAGUCACUGCUACAUUAUUCUACAUGACUGUUGAAACAAUUUUAUUUCCAAACCAUAUCCCCCAUGAAUUUUAAUCCAGCGACGCCCCUUAU